GCUUGGCUGGCUCAGUUGGCAGAGCAUGUGAGUCUUGAUCUCAGGAUUGUGAGUUCAAGCCCCACCUUGGGCG
rfam:Felis catus isolate Cinnamon breed Abyssinian chromosome C2, whole genome shotgun sequence.